rnacentral:rRNA from 1 species
CAGCACCUCAAGUGGUCAGGAUGAUUAUUGGGCCUAAAGCAUCCGUAGCCGGCUCUGUACGUUUUCGGUUAAAUCUGUAUGCUCAACAUACAGGCUGCCGGGAAUACUGCAGAGCUAGGGAGUGGGAGAGGUAGACGGUACUCGGUAGGAAGGGGUAAAAUCCUUUGAUCUAUUGAUGACCACCUGUGGCGAAGGCGGUCUACCAGAACACGUCCGACGGUGAGGGAUGAAAGCUGGGGGAGCAAACCGGAUUAGAUACCCGAGUAGUCC